rnacentral:lncRNA from 1 species
UAUUGCAUCGCGGCAAAUAUCGGGCAAUGAUAUUGACCUUAUAAGGGCCGCUUGCCUUUUGGUCGUUUAGCGGUGCUGUAGGGCUGCGUUACAUACUGAAUAAAUUGUAAUAGUCUCUUCGAACACUUACUCAAACCAAACCAAUUGAUUCGGCGAAUUAUUUCAGAAGUUUCGGGUUUUGGUGUAAUGGAAGUAAAUAUUGUGUAGGCUGCGGUAAGUUAUUCAAGCAGUGAAAGUGGACGAAGAACUACGUGCGACGCGGCAUGUGCUGCUCACUGGACCUCUAUCGACAGGAAGGCCAUGGGUGACGCAAUUCCAGGUCGCUAGAUUGACAGAGGGCCCAUUUCCUGGCUCAGAAGGUCGCCAGAGAUGACGCAUUAAUUUUUCUUAGCCGUUUCGUGAAGGAUGCUGUCUAAAAGACUACGGCGCGGGGCCUGCGGGCUUUCGCAUCGGAGCAGCAAAUGCACACGUUAAUUACAUGCUAGGUGCGAUGUGCGAGAAACUGAAGUAUUUCUUAGAUAUCAUGCAUGCUACAGAUAGUGCACACAUUGAGUUGUUAAACGGCUGCGACUGCAGGUUUGAUUAAUGUGGCUGUUGCGUAGCAGUUGGUUUGUCCAGGAAAAUGGAGAUGUCGCAGUGCAAGAGAAACCUCAAUGUGUGGUAUAGUGGUGCAUGAACUCCUGGUUGGCUCUAAACAGCACAAAGGAAAUUUCAAAUAACACAUAGAAAGACAUCAGUGAAGUCAGAAUCUGAGUCCAAAGGAGAAAUGUUUGCAGGAUGAUUCCAGACAGCUAUAAUCCAUUAUGAAAAUUUCAAUGAAUAAUAAUUUGUGAUGUCAUGAAAGACAACUGUAGUAUUUGAAGGGGAAAGCUAUUCAGCAUGGACUGUUAUGUAAAUUUGGAUGUAUUAAGUAAUAUAAAUCAAAUUUUGCUGAAGUUUGAAAAUUUUUCUGUUAUGGAUAUUUCCUAUUUUAUUUUCUAACAGGAAAGGGCAUGUUCAUUCAGCCAUAUAUACAUUCAUCAGUAGGAGGCGGUCAGUUUACGUAAUAAGUGAUUAUUGAGGAUACGAGAUGUGUUGGAAGAGACAGCUCACUGUGUGGAGGAUGUUGAUGGUUUGAGAAAAGCAGUUGUAGAAGUGGUAGGCUGCCUUUAGGGAUGUAUGCCUACUGACAAGUGACAUACUGUGUAACUGUUGUAGUAGGGCUGCAGGAUGAAUAGUCAUAAUGUGAAUGACAAGAGUCUGCUUAAGUUUGAAGUGUUUGUAAAGGAUGUAUGUUCAGGAUUCUGCUGGUCACAACAUUGGUUAAGCUUCUUGUUAAUAAACUGUGCCUUCUGUGUGGUGACAGAAAUUAGAUUUGAGCAUGCUUGUUUGGUUAUGUGGUUUGCUGUAUGAGGAGGUCAGACAUUCUUUGCUAAUGUCCACCACCGAUAUGAAAGAGGAAAUGAUUGUGGCUAUAGCGGAAAGCUAUGUUACGAUGUAUGUAUUGGAAGGAGCAGGAAAAACUGCAAAUAUUUGAGAAGUUAUCAAAAACCUUAAGAUUAUAAAAGAAUAGUUGGAACAGUAGGGACAAAAUGAUAGUCCAUAUAUCUUUGAAAUGACUGGAAGGGGAUUGAGCAAGAUGAUGUUGAAUGAAGAUGAGAAGCUGUCAAAGAGCGUGGUUAAUUUGCAGGCAUGUCAUCCAUGACUUGGAGAAUGUUUACCCAGUCAGUGUCCUGCUGUGAAAUAAAGAUACGUUGUAGAUUUGGAUGCGAGUGAGUGUUGGAGGUAGAAGAGAUACUGGUUGGUUAACAUAGAACACUUCCAAUUAUUAAUUGAAUCAAAUCACAGAACAGGGAGGUUGCAGCACUUGCAGAAAUAGGAAACAGUUGUGGUUGUGGUGGAAGGCUGUGUUAUGAUGUACACAUUGUAAGGGCCAGGAGCAACUGCAAAUAUUGGACAAGUCACCAAGAAGCAUGCAUUUAGAGGAGAAUAAUUGGAACAGCGGCAGCAAAAUGAUAGUAUCAAUUUGAAAUGAUAGGAAGGGGAUUGAGCACAGAAGAAAUGGUUGUGGUUAUAAGGAAGCAGUCUUAUUAUGUACAUGUUGGAAGGAACAGAAACAAAGGCAAACAUAUAAGACAUUGUCAGAAAACAUGCAUUUACAGGAGAAUAACUGGAACAGCAGUUAGAAAAAUGAUAGUAUACGUUUUAAAUGACUAGAAGGGGAUUGAGCAAGAUGCAAUUAAAUGAAUGUGAGAAGUGUCACAGAGUUCCAUUAGUUUGCUGUUGGAUUGUCCAUGCAUAGGAGAAGGUUUUCCCUGGUAGUAUGUGUUAUGUGUUGCAUUGCAUGUAAUUUCUGCCUAUAGUGAUACAAGGGGUUGCAGAAGCAGCAGAAAAAUUAUCAUGUUAUACUCUUUUAAGUGAAACUCUGUUGUGAUUUGUUUCAGUAAUGUGGUACAAAGAAAGUGACAGUAAGUGCUGUUGAUGAAAGAAAAUGACUCUUUCUGUGCUACGGUAUUGUGAUGGUUUUUAUUAGGCUAUAGCCAGCAUGUUGUGGUUGGAAGUGGUGAGUUUACUAAUGGAUGUUUCAGGACAGGUGUGAGCAGAGUAAUGACUGUUUCUGUUGGAGCCAUGAAGUUUAAUUUAAUGAAGUUACUGCAACAGGUGUCCGAAGAAUUUGUAUAUUUGCCUGAAGUUGAGAUACAAUGUUAUAAACAAAGUACGAAAUAAAACAAUCUCAAACAUAUGCUUAGAUUUCAGAACGAGCAAUGAAAGUUGGAAAAUUGAACGUGUUUCCUGCAGCAAUGUUGUCAAGUGUCUACACUCAAUGUGAGAUAUGACAGGAAUGAAAGAGGAUGUGUCAGCUACUAGUUCUAUGCAGCUAAUGAUAGUGGUGGUGAGCAGAUGAUAUGUUUGGAAGAAAGACACAUUUAAACGUCUCACAUCACUGUGGAAGUGAAAUCCAAUAUGUAUUUGGCAGAAAGCAACUGCUUUCUUAGAUCCCAACAUAACCACAAUCUCAGAAACUGUGACAUAUUUGGAAGGCACAGUCAAUGAAGAUAUAAAUUUCGCACCUGUGCUAUUGGAAUGACAAUGUGAUUAAAAAGAGUGAGACUCCAGAUGACAGGCUUAGAAAUCAGAAAAGAUAGUGAAGGGACAUUGCAGUACACCUGCUACUACUACUGAAUACCUGGAGCAAGGAAAAAGUUACUGGAAACUGUGUGCUAAACAAUGAGGAAAGUUCGCAAAAUAAAGACAAGGCAACAAGGAACCAACCUCAACAAUCAAGGGAAGUAAAUGCAAGAUAGCCCAAGACUGUUUCUGUAAUUCCUUCCAAUG